rnacentral:rRNA from 1 species
UACGUAGGGAGCAAGCGUUGUCCGGAAUCAUUGGGCGUAAAGCGCGCGUAGGUGGCCCUGUAAGUCCGUUGUGAAAGUCAAAGGCUCAACCUUUGAAAGCCGAUGGAUACUGCAGGGCUAGAGUACGGAAGAGGCGAGUGGAAUUCCUGGUGUAGCGGUGGAAUGCGCAGAUAUCAGGAGGAACACCAAUAGCGAAGGCAGCUCGCUGGGACGUUACUGACACUGAGGAGCGAAAGCCAGGGGAGCAAACAGG